CUUGGAAGCUUGCGAGAAAAACAUUCUACUGUUUCUGGUCGGCCAAGCUGACGUUCUAGGGCCAGGCGUCUUUUUCCGGGACAAAAAAAGACUCAGUUGACUCCUCGGGACAGUUUAUUGUCCACAAAAAGCUCAUUCUACCUGUUAGCGGAGAAAACCUGGACUGCUAACGGAAAAAGAAUGAGCCCCUUUCAAAGCCCUGGUCUCAAGGAAGAGCUAACAUCAAACAGCCUCGGAAUAACCAGAAGAUGA
rnacentral:lncRNA from 1 species